CAUUCCCUUCUCCAGGGAAGCCCUCUCAUUCUUGGAGGAGAAGACAAAGAGUGGAGGAUCAAGCAGGAGACUUUGGGGCUAGGCCCACAUCACCCUCACUUGUGGUCUAUUGACCAGAAGGUAGGCAUCAGAAUGCAGAUUAACUGCAAGAGAAAUUGGGAAAGACAGUCUUCCUGCAUGCUCAGGAGUGGCAUGUGUAGCUGCAGUGAGGAUUCUGUGGUAGAGUUUGUGCGUGGUGGGUGACGAGAUGCUGCAUUCCCACAGAGAGAGGUGACUUGGAUAGCUUCUUUUCUUCUUCCUCAUCAUUCACAUCUGCCAAGUCUGAUCUCCCCAAGGAGGCAAGAAAUGAGUAGAGGAAAAAAAAAUGUCUUCUCCUGGUGUGUGAUUUGUGGUUGGCUCCGUGCCGGGCCCUGGCCCUGUCUCUUUUCCUCACUAGGCAUCUUGGUGGGUUGUCUGGAGACACUGUUUCCCCCGGCAGGGACCUCCUACGGUACCACUUCUUUACACAGUGAGUCACCUUCCAGCCGACUGUGUGUGACGCUCAUUCCCCUUCUGCAUCUACAGGCACACCCAAGCCCCUUUCUGUGGAGUUAUGUCACCCUGCCAUCUGAGGCAGAUGGUGAGUCCUCUUGGGCAGGGUCCUUUGAGGUGACUCAAGCCUGAGCCGCAGGAAACCUCACAUCUUUAUUCCACCAGAAGCUGGAAGGGCCCUGUUUUGUCAUGAGAGGAAGCUUUAACCGGACUGUUGUCUUAGGGCUUUUAGGCAAGAGUCAGGCAACACAGGCCGUUUCCUCCCAGGAACUCUAUCACUCUACUCUUCACUACAGCCCGUAGGGUCUCCUCACUUGGCCUGAGAAAGGAAAACCCCUUUUCCUAUCUGUGUAAGUGAGCGAGAAGGGGGAAAAAAAUCCAUCCUCUCCAGACUUACUCAACUCAGUGUCCUGGUCUCCUGUUACAUAUGGGCAGGAAUGAAUGACGGAUUGCAGGACGUGCACCUAGCUUUGCCAUCUGACAGCAAGCCCUGGUGGGUGACUGGACUCCUCUAUUCAGAAUAUGGGGCUGUUUAACCCCCGUUGUCCUCAGCUUUGAGGUCCCAGCCAAAAUGCAGAGUGAACUGGGAAUGUUGCACUGAAUACCCUGUUAAAUAACAUUAUUCCUUUGUUAUAGUUGUUGGUCCUGAGGUUCAAAAUAGAUAAGGAGUUUGGGCAAAGCCCACAGCUAUACAACAUAUAUGGAUUUCAAGAGCUAUGGACUAUGGUGGCCAAGAUACAGUAGCUGAGUUGAAGAAAGGGAAUAUAAUUGUAUUUAAUUUUGGGAAGACAAACUUGUCAUGAUUUCAUGGAGGAAGAAAGAGAAGCCCAGAGAGGUCAGGUGACUUAUCCAAGGUCACGUGGCUGCCAAGCCGCAGAGCCUGCCCAAGGAGUCCUCUCUUCUUGUUCCUGUUCUUCCCAUUAACCUGCCCACUGAGGGCAAUGAAGCCUCCCGUGUUCCACUUCACCCACCAUCCUGUUUUUCUCUAGCUUCAGGAGUCAAGGUUCUCAAUACUCAGCAUUUAAUUGGUUUUGAGUUCAGUUAAACUCCCUUGUUCAAAAUCUAAACCAGUUAAACAAAUUUCCCAGAAAACCAAAAUAAUCUUUAAGCAAAGUUCACUGCCAGGUCAUAUCUGUCUAAGUAAAAGUUGUUUUCAGGAUACA
ensembl:lncRNA